AAGGGCACCACAAGAACGCGUGGAGCAUGUGGCUUAAUCUGACUCAACGCGGAAAAUCUUACCGGGUCCGGACACACUGAGGAUUGACAGGUUCAUCAUCAUGUGAUGUGUUUUUCACGGAACACAUUACAUGCACACACAAAAAUGCUAGUCCUUUCAUGAUUAUGUGAUAGGUGGUGCAUGGCCGUUCUUAGUUCGUGGAGUGAUCUGUCUGCUUAAUUGCGUAUCACUUUUAACGUGUAUCAAACAUAUAUUCAAUAUGUACUGACCUUGUUCACGCAUGCGUCUAUACAUUGAGAAUAUAUUUACACGUUGAUAGCAACGAGCGUGACCGUAAUCCCUUGUUGCGAUAUUCACCUACUCUCACCCCGUGUUAAUAUCGCUAACUAGGGAGACCGCUGUAUUCUUUCUUAAACCAGAGGAAGGUUACGGCAAUAACAGGUCUGUGAUGCCCUUAGAUGUUCCGGGCCGCACACGUGCUACACUGAUUAUUGCAGUGAGUAUCUUACUUAACUUGCUAUGUGCAUGCGUGUAUGUUUACAUACACAAAUACACGCUCAAAUAGCCUGCUUCGAAAGUUAUCUCGCGGGUAAUCAAUUAGCAGUAAUGAUUUUCCAUCAUACAUGCACAUUAUGUACGUAUAUUAAUACCCAGUGUGUGAUUUAUCACACACUCGUGUGUAUAAUAUUACACGUACGUGCAUUUUAUCAAUUCAUGGUGGGGACAGACUAUUGUUAAUUAUUAGUCUCGGUUUCAACUAGGAAUGCCUUGUACUGGUUAGUUCAACAAACUACCAGGAAUACGUCCCUGCCCUUUGUACACACCGCCCGUCGCUCUUACCGAUGAACUAUACUGUGAGUUUAUUGGACUCAUACAUUAAAAUUUCCAUUUUAUGUAUGGGAAAAAUACACGAACAGUGUGGUUUAAAGGAAAGAGAAGUCGAACAAGGC
rnacentral:rRNA from 1 species